rnacentral:rRNA from 1 species
AGAGUUUGAUCCUGGCUCAGAAUCAACGCUGGCGGCGUGGCCUAACACAUGCAAGUCGAACGCGAAAGUGGAGCAAUCCAUGAGUAGAGUGGCGAACGGGUGAGUAACACGUGGGUGACCUACCUUCGAAUGGGGGAUAACGUCCCGAAAGGGACGCUAAUACCGCAUAACAUCCUGCUUUUGAACAGGUGGAGAUCAAAGCCGGGGAUCGCAGGACCUGGCGUUUGAAGAGGGGCCCGCGUCUGAUUAGCUAGUUGGUGAGGUAACGGCCCACCAAGGCAACGAUCAGUAUCCGGCCUGAGAGGGCGGACGGACACACUGGGACUGAGACACGGCCCAGACUCCUACGGGAGGCAGCAGUGGGGAAUUGUUCGCAAUGGGCGCAAGCCUGACGACGCAACGCCGCGUGGAGGAUGAAGGUCUUCGGAUUGUAAACUCCUGUUGCCCGGGACGAAACGUUUCGACCUAACACGUCGAGNNCUGACGGUACCGGGUGAGGAAGCCCCGGCUAACUCUGUGCCAGCAGCCGCGGUAAUACAGAGGGGGCAAGCGUUGUUCGGAAUUACUGGGCGUAAAGGGCGCGUAGGCGGCCUUCUAAGUCGAACGUGAAAUCCCCGGGCUCAACCCGGGAACUGCGUCCGAUACUGGAAGGCUUGAAUCCGGGAGAGGGAUGCGGAAUUCCAGGUGUAGCGGUGAAAUGCGUAGAUAUCUGGAGGAACACCGGUGGCGAAGGCGGCAUCCUGGACCGGCAUNNNNNCUGAGGCGCGAAAGCCAGGGGAGCAAACGGGAUUAGAUACCCUAGUAGUCC